rnacentral:rRNA from 1 species
UACGUAGGGGGCAAGCGUUGUCCGGAAUCAUUGGGCGUAAAGCGCGUGUAGGCGGUUCGAUAAGUCUGCUGUGAAAGUCCAGGGCUCAACCCUGGGAUGCCGGUGGAUACUGUCGGGCUAGAGUGCGGAAGAGGCGAGUGGAAUUCCCGGUGUAGCGGUGAAAUGCGCAGAUAUCGGGAAGAACACCCGUGGCGAAGGCGGCUCUCUGGGACGGUACUGACGCUGAGACGCGAAAGCGUGGGGAGCAAACAGG